AAUAGACUACCCAGGUAGUCCACGCCGUAAACGAUGAGUGCUAAGUGUUAGAGGGUUUCCGCCCUUUAGUGCUGCAGCAAACGCAUUAAGCACUCCGCCUGGGGAGUACGACCGCAAGGUUGAAACUCAAAGGAAUUGACGGGGGCCCGCACAAGCGGUGGAGCAUGUGGUUUAAUUCGAAGCAACGCGAAGAACCUUACCAGGUCUUGACAUCCUCUGACAAUCCUAGAGAUAGGACUUUCCCCUUCGGGGGACAGAGUGACAGGUGGUGCAUGGUUGUCGUCAGCUCGUGUCGUGAGAUGUUGGGUUAAGUCCCGCAACGAGCGCAACCCUUGAUCUUAGUUGCCAGCAUUUAGUUGGGCACUCUAAGGUGACUGCCGGUGACAAACCGGAGGAAGUGGGGAUGACGUCAAAUCAUCAUGCCCCUUAUGACCUGGGCUACACACGUGCUACAAUGGAUGGUACAAAGGGCUGCAAGACCGCGAGGUUUAGCCAAUCCCAUAAAACCGAUUCUCAGUUCGGA
rnacentral:rRNA from 1 species